CCUACGGGAGGCAGCAGUGGGGAAUAUUGGACAAUGGGGGGAACCCUGAUCCAGCCAUGCCGCGUGUGUAAAGAAGGCCCUCGGGUUGUAAAGCACUUUCAGUGAGGAAGAACGCCUGGUGGUUAAUACCCAUCAGGAAAGACAUCACUCACAGAAGAAGCACCGGCUAACUCCGUGCCAGCAGCCGCGGUAAUACGGAGGGUGCGAGCGUUAAUCGGAAUUACUGGGCGUAAAGCGCGCGUAGGUGGCUUGAUAAGCCGGUUGUGAAAGCCCCGGGCUCAACCUGGGAACGGCAUCCGGAACUGUCAAGCUAGAGUGCAGGAGAGGAAGGUAGAAUUCCCGGUGUAGCGGUGAAAUGCGUAGAGAUCGGGAGGAAUACCAGUGGCGAAGGCGGCCUUCUGGACUGACACUGACACUGAGGUGCGAAAGCGUGGGUAGCAAACAGGAUUAGAUACCCCUGUAGUC
rnacentral:rRNA from 1 species